rnacentral:rRNA from 1 species
GACGAACGCUGGCGGCGUGCUUAACACAUGCAAGUCGAACGGAAAGGCCCUGCUUUUGUGGGGUGCUCGAGUGGCGAACGGGUGAGUAACACGUGAGUAACCUGCCCUUGACUUUGGGAUAACUUCAGGAAACUGGGGCUAAUACCGGAUAGGAGCUCCUGCUGCAUGGUGGGGGUUGGAAAGUUUCGGCGGUUGGGGAUGGACUCGCGGGUUAUCAGCUUGUUGGUGGGGUAGUGGAUUACCAAGGCUUUGACGGGUAGCCGGCCUGAGAGGGUGACCGGCCACAUUGGGACUGAGAUACGGCCCAGACUCCUACGGGAGGCAGCAGUGGGGAAUAUUGCACAAUGGGCGGAAGCCUGAUGCAGCAACGCCGCGUGCGGGAUGACGGCCUUCGGGUUGUAAACCGCUUUCGCCUGUGACGAAGCGUGAGUGACGGUAAUGGGUAAAGAAGCACCGGCUAACUACGUG